rnacentral:rRNA from 1 species
UGGGGAAUAUUGCACAAUGGGCGCAAGCCUGAUGCAGCCAUGCCGCGUGUAUGAAGAAGGCCUUCGGGUUGUAAAGUACUUUCAGUCGGGAGGAAGGUGUCAAGGUUAAUAACCUUUGCUCAUUGACGUUACCCGCAGAAGAAGCACCGGCUAACUCCGUGCCAGCAGCCGCGGUAAUACGGAGGGUGCAAGCGUUAAUCGGAAUUACUGGGCGUAAAGCGCACGCAGGCGGUUUGUUAAGUCAGAUGUGAAAUCCCCGGGCUCAACCUGGGAACUGCAUUCGAAACUGGCAGGCUAGAGUCUUGUAGAGGGGGGUAGAAUUCCAGGUGUAGCGGUGAAAUGCGUAGAGAUCUGGAGGAAUACCGGUGGCGAAGGCGGCCCCCUGGACAAAGACUGACGCUCAGGUGCGAAAGCGUGGGGAGCAAACAGG